UACGUAGGGUGCAAGCGUUGUUCGGAAUUACUGGGCGUAAAGGGCGCGUAGGCGGGCCCGUAUGUCGAUUGUGAAAGCCCUGGGCUUAACCUGGGAAUUGCAGUCGAAACUGCGGGUCUUGAGUGCCUAAGAGGAUGGCGGAAUUCCCGGUGUAGAAGUGAAAUUCGUAGAUAUCGGGAAGAACACCUGAGGCGAAGGCGGCUGUCUGGUGGUGCACUGACGCUGAGGCGCGAAAGCGUGGGGAGCGAACAGG
rnacentral:rRNA from 1 species